GAGUAUCUUUGGUACCCGUAACUGAAAUAAGUAAUAGACUGUGGAUGAAUUAAUUGAUUCCACACAUUUGUUGAGUACGCACGUCCUACCCGAUGGUAGAGGUACAGUGAGUAGGUAGCGCUCUGUUCCCUCUCCUGUGUAAACGAUCCAUCACUGCCUGGAGGAGAGGAUGACAAGCACGCGCUCCCAGAGGUCUGGAGGCUUCUCUCCCUGACCUCCUUCAGAUGCCUUUUCUCAUCAAGACUCUUCUCUCACCACCCCCUCCCCCAUUUAACGCGGCACCACCCUCCUUAUCCGGCCCCUUUGCCCCCAACUACUCAACUUUCUUUCCUGCUGGACAAUGUGUUUAUUAUUACGUUUAUUCUCUCCAGGUUAGAAGGGUGGGUCUUUGGGGCCAGGGUUUUUUGUCAUUCCCUGCUGUAUGCCCAGCACCUAGGAUGACGUCUAACGCCCCGUGAGCGGGUGCUCAGUAAAUGCUGAAUGAUGGGCAUCCGCCGGGAGAAACCGGGAAGCGUUUGGGAGCCGCUUUCUCACGUUCGCCUUUACUGCCUGCCGCCUCCCUGGCCUCGCUCGUCCAGUGGGGGGUUUUCUAACACGCUUGGGCGUCCUCAGCCUGUCUUGUUUCCCUCUGGUCCUGCUGCCCGGCCCUUUGCUCUGAGACGCACCGCCCUGCUGCGCACUUUCCUCGCUCCUCUGCCCAGCCCUCCAGGGCGUCUCGCAGUUCUCAGGACCAAGCCGAGCGCCUCGUUUGGUUUCCUCUUUGGUGCACAGACUUUGCCUCCCUCUAAGCAAACCUAGCAGGCCCCUCCAUUUCUCAUUUUAGGAGGCUUCUUCUGCCUGUAACAUCUGAGCCUCCCUUGGAUGUUUCAUGUCGUCAAGAAAUGCUUUUCCAUCUCAGAGGUGGUUUUGAGAAAGGCUUUCCUUUUCUGGGGCCGCCCCGGCCGAGUGCACACAGCCUGGGGGGCUUAAACGAUAGAAUUGUCUUGUCUCACGGUUCUGGAGGCUAUAGGUCCAAAUUCAAGGUGUGGAUAGGUUUGCUUCCUUCCGAGGGUUCUGAGGGGCGGUUUCCAUCCAGGCCUCUCUCCUCGGCUUGUAAAUGGCCAUUCUCUCCUCCUCGAUUCCCUUUGUUAUGUGUCCCUGUCUGGGUUCAAGUUUCCCUUUUUUAUGAGGACACCAGCUGGGUGGCAUUAGACUCACCCUAGUGAUCUCACUGUAACCUGAUGACCUCUGUGAAGACACUGUCUCCAAAAAGGCCACAAUCUGGGGUUCCUGUUGUGGCUCAGCCGUAAGGACCCCGACUAGUAUCCAUGAGGACGGGGGUUCAAUCCCUGGCCUCGUUCAGUGGGUUAAGGAUCUGGCGUUGCGGUGAGUUGUGGUGUAG
rnacentral:lncRNA from 1 species